UUGGCUUCGGUAAAUUGCUUCUAGUGUGCAGGAUGUGAAAGUGGGAUAACAUAGAACUAGUGUACUGGUGAUUGACGGUUAGCAUGGACUUGGUGGACCAAAGGGCCUGUUCCCAUGCUGUUUCUCGAAGCUAAAACUAAAAACCUCCAACUUUAAGGGCAGCUGUUAACUUUCACUUUGCACCCGCCCUGGUGAUCUAUUAAUUUAACAAUAAACAAUGGAGACUUGCAUCCUGUUAUGCUGCAGAUCUGUAUACCUGGACAAUAAUUACUUUAAGGUUAAAAUGGAAUUCCCAAAUGUGUUGGUAUUUCAUGAACUUGGGUCAGCCUUUUUAUUUUCAGUUUGUUAGACGUGCUCCUUUGGAAUUUGAAGUCUCUUUGUGUGGAGCUUUGUAACAAAUUGCCUUCAUUCACUACAUUUAUCAUCUUUUAGAAGUGUUGUUUCUUUUCUGAAUACCAAGAUAUUGUCUGCAACUUCUACAGCGAAGAGUUAAGCUCAGGACAGGCAUAUAGAAACAAAGAGCUGCAUCAAAGAAGAUGGACACAAUGCUGGAGUAACUCAGCGAGUCAGGCAGCAUCUCUGGAGAAAAGGAUAAGAUGACAUUUAGGGUCGAGACCCUUCUUCACUGCAGAAAGGAAGGAAGGUGUAAGACAGGUUUAAAGACAGGUUUGUAAACAGUGGUGUGCUACAUUCGUUCAAUUGUACAAGUGUGAAUUUAGAGUUCUACUGUGUAAGGCCUGGAACAAUUGUGUAUGGUGAUGAAUGCAGAACAUUAUUCAGAAUGCAGAACAGAACUGAAGAAGGGUCUCGACCCAAAACGGAGUCUGAAGAAGGGUCUUGACCCGAAAAGUCACCCAUUCCUUCCAUCCAGAGAUGCUGCCUGUCCCGCUGAGGUACUCCAGCAUUUUGUGUCUAUCUUCGGUGUAAACCAGCAUCUGCAGUUCCUUCCCACACAGUAUUAAAGUAACACGGCUGCUGUGAAAUUCCUUGCAUCUUCAAGGAAGUUGGAGGAAUUUGAUGUGAUUAUUCUUUUGAAGGCAAAAACCCGUUUUAGUACGUGGAUUUUUCGGUGGGAUUUGUCGAUUUUACAAGUUAAU